rnacentral:lncRNA from 1 species
GGAGCGUCUAAACGAGGAGCGAUUAGAAGCUAGACGCUUCGCCCUAUGGUUUCAAGAGCUGAUGGAGUGUGAUUCAGGGUACUCGUCAGUUGACUCGUCAGCUGACUCGUUAUUGGCGUACCGCGAUUAGUACGAGAUAUACAAACGGGCGGGGGAAGAACGCGCAAUACACAGGGGAACGAGGCUUUCGGGGAUGUGCAACCCCCGGGAGGGCGGAUCAUCAUCACGCACGAUACAGCCCGUUAUUUCAAACGUUUUCAACUACGUGGUCGGGAGAUAACAUUGCGUAUCCGCCAACCUCACG